CGCGUAGGUGGUUCGUUAAGUUGGAUGUGAAAUCCCCGGGCUCAACCUGGGAACUGCAUCCAAAACUGGCAAGCUAGAGUAUGGUAGAGGGUGGUGGAAUUUCCUGUGUAGCGGUGAAAUGCGUAGAUAUAGGAAGGAACACCAGUGGCGAAGGCGACCACCUGGACUGAUACUGACACUGGGGUACGAAAGCAUGGGGAGCAAACAGGAUUAGAUACCCUUGUA
rnacentral:rRNA from 1 species